AUAGUUUAGUAUGUCGUCCAAAAUGAGAAAAAAAGUCAUAGUUUAGUAUGUCGUCCAAAUUGAGAAAAAAACUCAUAGUUUAGUAUGUCGUCCAAAUUGAGAUAAAAAGUCAUAGUUUAGUAUGCCGUCCAAAAUGAGAAAAAAAGUCAUAGUUUAGUAUGCCGUCCAAAAUGAGAAAAAAACUCAUAGUUUAGUAUGUCGUCCAAAUUGAGAAAAAAAGUCAUAGUUUAGUAUGUCAUCUAAAAUGAGAAAAAAACGUCAUAGUUUAGUAUACCGUCCAAAAUGAGAAAAAAACAUCAUGGUUUAGUAUGCCGUCCAAAAUGAGAAAAAAACGUCAUAGUUUAGUAUGUCGUCCAAAAUGAGAAAAAAAAAACGUCAU